GUGGAUCCUCUCCAACAAUGCCUGUAGACUAUCAUUACAAUAUUUACAUGUCAAGUCUGUAGUCUCAGCCACUGUACAUUGGUUAGAGCUAUACACUUUGAGGUCAUACAUGGACUGUAUAGUCAGUGCUACAAUGCCUUCAUUUCAACCCAAUUAAAGUACAGGUCCACCGUUGCAUGUACUUGCAGUUGUUCCUAAGCUGUUCCAAGUGAAGACCAAAGAUUGUUCUACUCUCCAUGGGUGAUGGCUCAUAGUUUGGAUCCAUCUACAACACAGCUCUAAUCAGUAUGGAGACAAAAGUUGAAGGAACAAGGAGAAUAAAAUUAUCUUAUUUUAUUACCUGCAAA